GGUUGAUCCUGCCAGUAGUCAUAUGCUUGUCCCAAAGAUUCAGCCAUGCAAGUCCAAGUAUAAGCCUUUAUACGGUGAAACUGCGAAUGGCUCAUUAAAUCAGUUAUAAUUUACAUGAUGGUACACUAUACAUGGAUAACCGUGGUAAUUCUACAGCUAAUACAUGCGAAAAGCGGGAGAAAUCCGGCGAGUAUUUAUUAGAUAAAACCAACGCCAGCAAUGGCCAAUGGCGAGUCAAGAUAACUGCGCGGAUCGCAGGGCCGCGAGCCGGCGACGCAUCAAUCAAAUAU
rnacentral:rRNA from 1 species